rnacentral:ribozyme from 1 species
UAUGCAUGCUCAAAUGAUGCAGAAGGAAAAAGAAGAUGAAAGGAACAAGGGAAAAAGGCGUAGUAAUUUGAAGAAAAGAUUGUCAGUGAUCCAACUUGUUCUUUAGUGCAGCCCAUGUUGUUUUCUGUUACGCCCUCUCAAUCUGUAUGUAAUCAACAC